AAGCAAGGAAACAGGAAGUGUUUCUUUUUUCCCCUCCACUCCUGCUCCAGCGGCACAAUGUGAUCCACCAGCAAGGAGGGACGCCAAUAAGGCAUCCGAUAAGUCUUAUAAAAUAUAUAGAUUUAUGAUAAUUAAGACUGAGCUAAAAGAUGAGGAAUCCUAGUCAUUGAUCAAGCAGCUUUGAACGUAAUACAAGUUUCUGUGUAUUCAUUUGGGCCCUAACUCAGAUUAGUGGUCAAACAUGCAAAUCUACUUUUAAUCAAUAACAAGAAAGGAUCCUAUAUUCAAUGCAGGAAUCACAAGGCUGUUGAUUGCAUCUUCGUCCAGUAACAGAAGGAAGCAAAUGCAGAAAUCCACAGCUAAGCACUGGGCCAAGUUCCCAGAGUCCAGUUGAAGAGAGUGAGGACAAUAACAUGAUCAAAUGUAUCAAGUCCAGUUUGGAGAUAUCCACAAAAACAGCUGACCCGAGCUAGUGGGAGCUUGUUGACUCUGUACUGACAGCUGGGAAACCUGCAUAGGGCCAAAGUAGGCCUUCUGAAUGUAGGUGACAGUAGUGUAGUUUGGGUAGUCUGUGGGACCAAUGGCAGUGGGCCCAGGAUUUAUCCCUAGUGCUUUAGCUGGCUUUUUGGAGCUCAUUUUCUUUGGAGGGAUAACUUGCUCAGCAUAGAUAUAAUGGGGAGAGCCUUGGUCCUGCCUCAAAGUAAGGUGCCAGAAUUCAUUGACUCCCCAUGGGGAGGCUUACCCUCUCUGAGGAGUGGAUGGGGGUAGGGUAGAAGGAAGGAGAGGGUAGCAGGAGGAGGGGAGGGCUUGGAAACUGGGAUUGGUAUGUAAAAUGAGAAAAGAUUGUUUAUAAAAUAAAAAAUGAUAAAAAUAAGUCCAAGGACAUGUUACUUUGCAAGAGAGGUUCUCCUUUAGUUUCCACAGAAGAUGAAAAGUUGCGGAUUCCUUCCAGGAUAAUACGGUUUGUUCAAACAAGACUCCCUGAAACAAUGGCCCAGGUGAUCCUACAUCUUCAGGACUGCUGGCUGAGAUGACCAACCACACAAAAUACCCCAGUCAGGACUUGACCAUAAUUCUAAAUUUUCUAAGGUUCCCUAUAAGAUUAACAGUGCCCCUAAUCAGCAGGAAGUAGUCUGGAAAACUAUGCCCAAAUUCACAAAUACUGUUUAUCAAUGUUUGUUUUCAUUUAAAGAGGGUUGGUUAUGAAUGGUUAAUGGUCACAGUCAACCUCUUUUUGGAGAAAAAAAAGGAUAUGAUAUAGAAAUAAAUACUUUAUAUUGGUAUCGAUUUUGGUCUAUUGAUGAAAACUGAAGGUCAAUUUUAUUAUACUGUAUAUAUUUCUACUCUUGUUUAAGGUGUUAUGCUUAUUAUGCAGCUAAUUUAAAAAUGCAAUAUAUAAUUAAGAAAUAGAAUUAAUAGUCAAACUUAUAGUUAUAUUAGUUAGGUUUUCUAGAUACACAGAGAUAUAUUUCAGUUGGACAGGUAAACUUCAAACACUUCAAAGACCUAGAGAAUAUGCCAUUUAAAAUGCUUUAAGAACUUAGACUUUUCUUGACAGUGAGACACAUCUGCUCCUGGCAGCACCAAUUACUUCAGAGAGGAUGAUGGGCAUCAGAGAAACUCUUAAUGGAAUUUCCCUUCAGUGUGGCAGGGCUAGCCAUUUGGAGAAGAAACUGUUCUUGCCUGGACUGUUUGAUGGUGUGCUGUAUGAACUGGACAUACAGAACCCCAGUAAAGUGGCAGCUAAACUUGCCAAGAUAAGACAGGAUGGUCCUUCAAGGGUUCCUGCUUCACAGAGGAAACACAGAAGAAAGCAACUGACAAACUUUGUCAGUCCAAGACAGAACAGAUCUUCAAAUUUACUGCUUCACUGAGAAGUCUGCCACACACUCCAGGCCUAUAGGCUGAAGAUGUAUGCCCCAGUGUUGCAAAGGAACUUUGGGUGAUUGUCCAGGUAGCCAGAUGUCUGUCAUUUCUAGAAUUUUGGAAGAUGCUUGCAAUGCACUUCCUGUUUACUUAGGUAAUAUUAUAUCCUUCUGGGGUUUUUGGUGGAGUUGAAGACAAAUAAUUAUAGUCAUAGUUUUCCUUAGUUAUGAUAAAAGAUAAAUUAGAUAUAAAACUUUAGACUCACAAAAAUAGGAUAAAUGAUAGAGUAUUUUCUUUAGUUUUGCCAAAUGUAAAUAGACUAAAUAUUGUAACUGGAAUUCUUGCAUGACAACUGUUUUGUUAUAUGUAAUUUUACUGUAUUAAAAUUAAAACCUUCUAGCCAAGCAGUGGUAGCGCACACCUUUAAUCCCAGCACUCAGAAGGCAGAGGCAGGUGGAUCUCUGUGAGUUCGAGACAAGCCUGAUCCACAAGAGCUGCUUCCAAAGCUACAGUCUCCAAAGCUACACGGAGAAACCAUGUAUCAAAAAAAAAAUAAAACAUUCCUCUUUUAAUUAGAAAAGGGGAGAUGAUAUGGGUUGUCCUUCUAUAUGCUGUGAAUGUGUU
ensembl:lncRNA